rfam:Nicotiana attenuata strain TT chromosome 11, whole genome shotgun sequence.
GCUCCCGUAGCUCAGUUGGUUAGAACGCUCGCUUAGUAAGUGAAAGUCUUGAGUUUGACUCUCAACAAGAACA